rnacentral:lncRNA from 1 species
AAAUAGCCCUCGCGCCACUGUCCAGAACAGACGAUAAGAAUUUCACAGGACUUUCGUCUGGAAGUUUGCGGUUGACAAUGCGUUUUUACCUACAUGAUCACAGUAACUUUCCCAGCAAGGCUGUUAGCUAAAGAAGGUGCCCUCCCCGCCCUGGAGCCUGAGAGAGGACGAGCUGCAGCCUUGUCCAAGAGAAAGGCCCGGGGGACCCAGCCAUCCACCUCCCUGCC